rnacentral:rRNA from 1 species
GACGGAGGGGGCAAGCGUUGUCCGGAAUCACUGGGCGUAAAGCGCACGUAGGCGGGACGGUGCGUCGGUGCUGAAAGCGCCAGGCUUAACCUGGCGAGGCGUGCCGAUACGACCGACCUCGAGGCAGACAGAGGGUGGCGGAAUUCCGGGUGUAGUGGUGAAAUGCGUAGAGAUCAGGAAGAACACCGGUGGCGAAAGCGCUUUGCUAGGCCGCAACUGACACUGAGGGACGAAAGCUAGGGGAGCGAAUGGG